GGAAGACAAGUCUGGACCAAUUUCUCCAUCCUGCCUCUGGCAGCAGAAUGUGGCAUUUCAGAUCUUCCACCAAGUCCCGGCUGCUUCAAAGGAAAAUCCCUACUUUCUUCCGUUAAGAUCAUAAGAAAUAUAGGGGGAGGGGGUCAGCUCUGUUUGGACAUAAUUACACUUCAUCAAAAGAAGCUUUCUUCAUCUUCCAUGCGUGAAAAGUCUGCAAGCAGUCAUUAAACCUGGCCACUUGGUUCUUCAUCACAGCAGAGGCGUUCCUCAGCUCUGCAGAAUAGUUUUCAUCAUUUCCAGCCAUGACGGUGACCACGGUCCCAUCAGCUUCUCACAGGACAACAAAGAACAUACAAGCCUGGUGUAAUAAUUCUGUCUUUGCGUGUCUCAGUAAGAUGCUACUGAAAGAAUUGUCAACUGAGGGACAAAUCCUGUUAUCCCAACUCAAAUGUGAUAAUAUCCUUUAAAGGUAAGUAAAUAAGAAAAAGCAGAAGAAGAUGAUGCCUGACAUUUCAAAAGAAGCCAGAGACAGAUAUAACUGCAAUGUGUAAUGUUUACUUCUGUGAACUAUAACUUUAAUACUAAUCUAAUCUAAUCUAACAAUGAUCAAAAUUACAAUCAAAGUUACCUGAAAUCUCCUCCUCCUUACCCCCAACCAUCAAUGCCCUCUGAAUAAGACUUGCUCAGGAAAAGUGAUCUACACCUGAUAUUUGCCAUGGCCCUUUAAUGCUUGGCAAAGUUACAGAAGUAGAAGAUUUUCUAAUGGCUCUGUUUAGCCUGUUCUCUGCAAUCUCUAACAAGUGGGGCCCACAAAGACUACUAAUCAUUUAACUCUAAGGCAGACCGAGUUCUUCCACGAUCUUUCCCUGUCAUAUAUGUGAGCUUCAGACAAAUGUAGUCUGUUUCUCUGUCUGAUAUUAAAGCAAGCCAUUCAAUCUCCAUGUCAGCUUUACAUACACUUAUUUUAAUGUCAGUUUCCUUUACUGAUGCUAUUGAUUUUUCACUUACAAAUAUAUCCCCCUUAGUAAUGAUUACAUCUCUAUCGGUCAGGAACUACAGCACUCUUAGAUAGUUAUACUUUGUUCUAGAAGAUACUGAUUUCAAACUCUUCUGUUUUUCAAUGAUUUUCAGGCAGGGUAACUAUAUUUUGCCAGGGAUGCUGCAAUAGCAGGAGGUUGGAUGGGUUUCGAUUUUACACAGGCAGUAAAAUCCAAAAUUGCAAAGUUUAGAUCUGCUAAUUCCGGUGCUGGGUUUUGGACUGACUCAGGUGCUGAUGGACAGGCACAGGUGCCUUGGGACAGCCGAGUUACUACUCAUUUCACCACUGAAGGAAUUGAAAGAAAUCUGCAGCGGAAAGUUUGGUGGGAGGGUAAAGGCUUGCUUAAAAGCAAGCACACGAACCACCACAUAAUAAUCCUUUCUUAACAUUAGCGGAGUGUGCGGAUGUCGACUGAAAAUGAAAAGCAACAUUCCCGAUUUAGAUCUGGGUGGUAUUUAUUAUCUAAAUAGCGUAUGAUGUUACUGAUAACUUAUGCACUGUCCCCUGCCAAAAUGAACGUCUUCAGGACAGACACUUCCUAACUUGUCCAGCAGGAGAAGUGAAGGGGCACCAUCUCCCAUUGGGAGGGCAAGAGCUCUGUCCUCUCUCCCCACUCUUAGCCCCUUUGUAGAUCCCAGUUUUAAAAUCUGGAUAAUUUUUCUACCCCUAGCUUAGGAGGAUCUGUUCUCCAGAAGCAGCUGUAAAACAGUGUAACUCCGGGAGGCAGCAACACCUCCCCCUACCUCCUCACACAACGAAAUACAAAUAGCUUGACGCUUCGCAAAAAGUAAGUUCAACCUGACACCUAGAGAGACACACCCAAGUGAAAAAGAGAAAAAAAGUUCCAUCAGGGACGUGGGUCCUUCUCCUGGUGUCCUUCCUAAAUCAACAGCAGGGCACGCACACACAACACCAUCAAACCCUGCUUCAUACCCGUGAAUACAUCAAUUAACAUGCCUUUAGAAAUUGUGAAAGGAAGGGGGCAGACCUUUGGUGCUGAAAAGGAGGAGAGGGAACAUUUGGAGGAAGCUCAAAGCCACCCCUUCUCUUCUCCCCUUUCUUAUAACCCUAUACAUUGCUUUGGGGAUGGGUAAAUCCCCGCACCUACUUGAAAAAUACUCUGUACCCAGUCCCCCUGUUACUUAGAGGUUGCACUGCUCAUGUGGUUAGGGGGUGCACGGAGUUAGAAGGUGCAUUGUUCUGGUUGGCAGUAUACGGUGGAGUGAGGCGUUAGCUGCCUUGCCCUGGUAGUUUGGGGGUGUCUGGGAUGUCAAUGGAGAAGCGGGUUCAGUGGGUGCUAAGGAAUGUAUGACUGUUGUGGGGGGCAUUAAUGGAGAGGCAUUGUUGGUGGUUAGGAGAUGGUGGUGUGAAUGGAGGGUAGUUAGAUGAUGCCUACGGUGGUUGAGAGUAUACGCUUGCUAAUGAGAGGCGUCAGCCUGUGCAUUGCCUGGUGGUUGGGGGUGCCCGGUCGUUAUAGGGGGUGGGUAGUUAGUUGCUGCACUGCCUUGUGGCGAGGGCGUGUGUGGUUGUUAAAUGAGAAUUAAGGAUUCCUUUUCCCUUGUGGCUAGGGGUGUACUGCUAGCAAGGGGGGGGCUGCUCGAAGGGAG